AUAUAAAAACAAGUUCNAAACUUUCAACAACGGAUMUACUUGGUUCUGGCAUCGAUGAAGAACGCAGCGAAAUGCGAUAAGUAAUGUGAAUUGCAGAAUUCAGUGAAUCAUCGAAUCUUUGAACGCACAUUGCGCCCGCCAGUAUUCUGGCGGGCAUGCCUGUUCGAGCGUCAUUUCAACCACUCAGGCCCUGGUGCCUGGCGUCGGGGUAUUUCUGUAACAAGAAAUCCCCUAGAAUCAGUGGCGGACCCGCCGCGGCUCCGAGCGUAGUAGUAAAAUAUCUCGCUAUGGAGGUCCGUGGGGGGCUAACCGGCCGUAAAACCUCUUCUUUACUGAAGAACUUCUCAAGGUGGRCCUCGGAUCAGGUAGGAAWCCCGCGACU
rnacentral:rRNA from 1 species